rnacentral:rRNA from 1 species
AUUGAACGCUGGCGGCAUGCCUUACACAUGCAAGUCGAACGGUAACGCGGGGCAACCUGGCGACGAGUGGCGAACGGGUGAGUAAUAUAUCGGAACGUGCCCAGUAGUGGGGGAUAGCCCGGCGAAAGCCGGAUUAAUACCGCAUGAGACCUGAGGGUGAAAGCGGGGGAUCGCAAGACCCUCGCGCUAUUGGAGCGGCCGAUAUCAGAUUAGGUAGUUGGUGGGGUAAAGGCCUACCAAGCCGACGAUCUGUAGCUGGUCUGAGAGGACGACCAGCCACACUGGGACUGAGACACGGCCCAGACUCCUACGGGAGGCAGCAGUGGGGAAUUUUGGACAAUGGGCGCAAGCCUGAUCCAGCCAUGCCGCGUGCGGGAAGAAGGCCUCGG